AUUGAACGCUGGCGGCAGGCCUAACACAUGCAGGUCGAGCGGAUGAAGGGAGCUUGCUCCUGGAUUCAGCGGCGGACGGGUGAGUAAUGCCUAGGAAUCUGCCUGGUAGUGGGGGAUAACGUCCGGAAACGGGAGCUAAUAUCGCAUACGUCCUGAGGGAGAAAGUGGGGGAUCUUCGGACCUAUCGCUAUCAGAUGAGACUAGGUUGGAUUAGAUAGGUGGUGGGGUUAAGGCGUACCAAGGCGGGGUUCCGUAACUGGUCUGAGAGGAUGAGCAGUCAGACUGGAUGAGAGAAAGGGCCCAGACUCCUGCGGGAGGCAGCAGUGGGGAAUAUUAGGCAAGGGGCGAAAGCCUAAUCCAGCCAAGCCGCGGGUGGGAUGAAGGUCUUCGGAUGGGAAAGCACUGUAAGUUGUGGGAAAGGACAGUAAUUUAAUACCGUGCUGUUUUGACGUUACCAGCAGAAGAAGCACCGGCUAACUUCGUG
rnacentral:rRNA from 1 species